rnacentral:rRNA from 1 species
UUGACAUCCAGAGAACUUGGCAGAGAUGCCUCGGUGCCUUCGGGAACUCUGAGACAGGUGCUGCAUGGCUGUCGUCAGCUCGUGUUGUGAAAUGUUGGUUAAGUCCGCAACGAGCGCAACCCCUAUCCUUUGUUGCCAGCGAUUCGGUCGGGAACUCAAAGGAGACUGCCGGUGAUAAACCGGAGGAAGGUGGGGAUGACGUCAAGUCAUCAUGGCCCUUACGAGUAGGGCUACACACGUGCUACAAUGGCGUAUACAAAGAGAAGCGACCUCGCGAGAGCAAGCGGACCUCAUAAAGUACGUCGUAGUCCGGAUUGGAGUCUGCAACUCGACUCCAUGAAGUCGGAAUCGCUAGUAAUCGUAGAUCAGAAUGCUACGGUGAAUACGUUCCCGGGCCUUGUACACACCGCCCGUCACACCAUGGGAGUGGGUUGCAAAAGAAGUAGAUAGCUUAACCUUCGGGAGGGCGUUUACCACUUUGUGAUUCAUGACUGGGGUGAAGUCGUAACAAGGUAAGCGUAGCGAG